AUGUUCUUGUCUCAUAUACUCAUUGGCUUCUUUUGUGUCACAGAGGAGUGCCAAGGUCUUGCUAAAGACCUAGGAUAUUUGACCAAGGAAAUACCCUUCAAAAUCAUAGGCCAGCAGCUGGCCGAGCGAGGCUGCAGAAGAGAGGAUCAUGACUUGAGUGCUGAACUCGACAUAAUCGAACAAGUGUUGGGCGACAACAUGGACAUGUAUUCAAAGGUCACACACACACUUGGACCCCAAGUAUGCCAGGUUGUGUUUCAGAUCACCAGAGAGUGCCUUGUUGCAAAAGGAAGUGCUCUAGAAAAUUGAAUUUUGACACUAUUUCUGACACAAUUACACUAUGUGCAGCAAACUGUUCACUGUACUGUACUGUUCAUUGUUAAAUCACUGCAAAGAUGCAAUUAAACAAUAUUUUUUGGUUAAAUCUGUUUAUUAUUAUUAUUUAGCGCUUGUAUCUUCUUGUUUUUUGCUUUUUGUAAAGCUCUCGUUUGGCUUGCUCUAUCCGCUGGCGAUAAGCAUGAAGUGCAUGUGUUUUUCGUUUUCUUGACACAAUGCCAAAAUGAUUGUAGGCCACUGUGUGUGCCCUCUUCACUGUAGUGUACAAGUCAUUACUAUACAUGUAAUUUUCUGAUUUGCUCCACUCCAGUAAAUCUGUCAACAUAGACUGAAGUUGAACUUGUGCAGUGGCAUUUGUUGGCACAAACAGAUUUUAGCUUCCAGCAGUGGGACAUGUAGUGGGACAUGUAGAAUGUGAAUUGUUGGUGGUUUGCAGGCAGUCAGCAACAUGUAAGCACACACACAUUUGACCGUAACUGUUGACAGCACAGGUACAAAAGACAGGGUCACCAGUAAAUACAAAUGUGGCACUUA
ensembl:lncRNA